GGAAAACAAAACACACUGAAGAUGUAAAUGUAACCACAACACUUGCUGCACACCUUGGGUAUGAUUAUUGUGAUUCUGAUCAUGGCGCUUUUGAAUUUGGACAGUGCUUACUUAAACUGCUUCACAAAAGAGCUAAAAAUCCAUUGAGUGAAUUCUUCAGGUCAUGGCUAAAUCCCCCUUUCCCCCUUCCUUCAUUCAUGCCUUUUUCAUUCCUGCAUAUAGACUCUGAUGAGUGCUAUAACUCUGUUAAGAUGGAGUACUGGUAAAAUACAAAUAGUGCUUUCAAUACACUUACCUUUAAUACCCCUUUGUUUCUUUAAAACACCCACAAAUAGACUUCAACUGAAUCUAAGGCAUAUUAUCUGGAUGCAUAUUUUUUUCUAGUUUUUGCGAUCUUGAGGUGUAAAAACAAUGUGCUUUGGAAUCUCAUAAAUUAAGCUAUCUUUAAUUUUAUAAGUAUUGUACCUCCAUUAGUUCCAUGAUGGUUUUCAGUUUUUGUCCAAGUGCUCCACCUGUCACACUCUGCUGUGUAUCUCAGGCUGACUCUCACUCACCUGCCACACCUCACCCCUGCCACACCUCCUCAUCAGCACUGAUUCCCCACACCUGUGAGUGACAAGCUGCAGCUCCUCACUGCUGAUUAGCCAGCCAGCAUUAAAGUCACUCUGUGACCCUCAGUCAGUGCCAGAUUGUCUUCGCAGCAUGCACGACUCUCCAGCAUUACUUCUUGGAUUGACUUCUCGGUUUCGACUCCUGCCUGUCCCUGACCACGUCUUAUCGUCUCAUCCCUUGGAUCCCCUGUCAAGUUUCUUCGCUCUGGUGAGAACUUCAGGUUUUGCUGUGUUGCUGGCUUCCCGACCUACUGCCUGUCCACGACUAUCCUUCCGUCUGAUCUCUCUGGAAUUAGUCUGCCCCGCUGAUUGUCUGCCUGGAUUCGACAUUGCCUCCGCUUUGACCACGAGCUCAGCCUGCCCCUCGACAGUGCCGCUGCACUUCACAAAGACUCUCAGGUGUAGUGUGUUUUCUGUGUUCACUCACCUUUCUGCCUGUUGGAUCUGUUUCCUGUGGAUCUGUCUUCUGGUGGACUUGGAGAUUCUACAGAGACUGCUUAAAUCAAUCCCAGUAUCUUCAGUUUCCUGUGUGCUGUGAUCUGUUGCAAUAAAAAUAGCUUCUAAACCACUACCUGCUGUUGUGCUGCACUUGGGUCCUACAUCCACACCCCUGACACCACCUUUGGCAUGGAACAGCCUGAGUAACUUGGGAGUGUGAAGGUCCAAGGCAGCCAUAAAUCGGGGCUCCAGAGGCAUGGUAGUGAUUCUUUGAAAUUCUGCACUGAUCUGAAAAGUCAACAAAAGUGAAAAGGUUUCAGACCACACUUAAACAUUUCAUACAUUUACAUACAAUAUAUUCUGCAGCUUUCACAGAGUACUUAUUAGAACUGUCAUCAUAUUUAUUAACUGUCAUUAACAUUUUGUCUCUUAACAGCAAUUACAAGAGUAAACUCACCUUUGAACAACUGAACAGGGCAGGCUAGCGGUCCUUCAUGGCUUGAACACUUGGACAUUGGUUGAUUGCUUCAUGUCGUCUGAGGGCAAAUGUAUGGCUCAUUUUGUCAUUGACCAUUUUCUCAUUAUUCUUUUUCUUGAACUCAGUGAUUAGUUCUUCUCUUGUUUUUUCUAAGCUGUGCUCAUCUUCACCAGCAGGGUAGAGAGGGAGAUAGUUCACCUCUGCCCCUCUUGCCUUUUUAACAUUUUUUGCAGACUUUUGGUCCUCAGGACAUUUAAUGCUUAGCGCAUCGCAUGUAACAUCUGGAAUCCCAAAGCCUCUUAGCUUUGUCCUGUAGUUACUCAUUUUAUAUUUAAUGUGAGUCAGCCAUCCACUGAGACCUGAAGAGCACCCUGGAUCCCUCAGACAUGGUUGGGCCUUGAUAAGCGCUUCAGCAACAGAGAGAACUUGCAGGGAUGAUGGGUAGGCAGUGUAUGCAUAAAUGGAGUGAGCUAGCUUUUCAAGUAUGUCAGACCUGAUCUUUGGAGUUGUCAGCAAUGUGCCGUCUUUUUUGUAAAGUUCAUUGGCUCUUUAAAGAACUAUCUCAGUUUCAACGGAGAAUUCUGGAAUGCUGAAUUCAGCUGGCCAUGGCUUUCUCUGUUGGUUGCAGUUUGGUGAUAAUAUGAUUGUGCUUGGGGUUGAUGAAUCUGACGAGUCAAGGGCCUCGUGCAGUAGAACUUGUGGAGGGUGGGUCAAAGGAUUGCUCUGAGGUGACACUGCCAGCAUAGCUUUCAUUGAGUGGCACUGGAUACAAAUUAAGAACAACUGGUUCAAUUGUCAUGACCUGUACUGUUGCUCUGUUUUGAAUUUGAUUAGUGGAGUGAAGAGUGAAAAAGUCCUUGAAAUCUGGAUCUAAAUACUGCAGGCUGAAGUCCCCAGUGAUGCUUAAUUGCUGUUUGAUGGCUAAACUUAGCUCCUCAGUAGUCUCUGGUAUUCCAGACAGAAGCGUCAGUUUCUCAAUUCUGUGUCCAAAGAUCACCCGGAGCACUGCUGGAUCCAUGUCCCGUUGCCUAGUGGGAAAAACAAAAAAAAUCUUUAAGAUUCUUAGGUCCAGAAAAAAAGUACAGUUAAAGACACUGCCAUAGCCAGUUCUAUUAUUCGACACACUGAGCAACUUUUUGCUGAUGAAUGAGAAAACUAGUGCCGUGCUCGCCACUUUGAAUGUCAGCAUCCCUUUCCCCACAUCAGUGAUUUCUCCUGGCUUUUGCACGUUUUACAUUCCAGUUACAGUUAAUACAAAGCUCUUAAACAUCUAACUGUUGAUACACUGACCCAACGUUUUUGUAAGAUAACUUUAGUUAAUGUUUAUGAUAGUGAGAGCAUUGAUGAUACGUUACCUGCCUGGCAAGAAGACUGUCUGACACAAAGCCGAAGUAAAGCUGAUGGAAUUACAGUUAGCAUGUUUGGAAAAUAAGAUCCUCGUCUUACACAGCGUGGUAUCCCUGGAUAGCCCUAAAAAUCCCCCAUGAAUGGAAACGAAAAUCCAUUAACAUAAACACGAUUUACUCUCCACCACAAUUUACUGAGACAGCAAGUCUGUAUAGCAUAUUUUCCUUGAGGAAUAUCCAAAACUUCUUAGUGGAACUACUAAUCAGUAACUAUCAAAAUAAAAGCCUGUGGUUUUGCAACCGUAACUGCAGCAAAUACUCUUGAUAUUUUCCUGAUAUUGUUGCUUUAAUGCCAUCACACUAUAGUUUUCAUUAACAUAAUGUGCAUAAUUUACCUUUCUGCCGCUUCCGUGUCUCUCUACCACUAUGACUGCUAUAUUGUUUUGUAAAGUCCCCUAGCAUGCACCCAUGGGUCAUCAUUAACAUUACAGUAUAAACAAAAUAAGUCUCCUUACCUUUGUCAACCAAACAAAUUUGAUAAGUUAAAUAGAGGAAAAGGGGCAGCAGAUAUUUGCACUUACUUUGUCUUGUGACAGGAUGAAAGCCUGCUGAAUUCAAAAGAAGAAAAAAGGCGCAAAAUAACAGGAAGUGCCUGUCAAUUAAAAACUGAAUGAUUCUAUUAAGUUGGAUUUAUUUAAAAUUCUUUUGAUUUAGAAUUACAUCAACAUAAAAGUUAUAAUUUAUGUAACCAAAAUGAGCAGAUUUUAUCUUGGACAUUUUUGUUUGAAAGUUACUUAAACUUUUGCCACAAAAUCAAGGACGCAUUUAUAUUGAAUACAUUUAAUCAAAUAUAUUAAGUAAAAUGUAAAUGACCACGGUAUCAUUUAUUACAGUAUACGCGCUUCUAACUCAGUAAGUUCACGUGACACAAAAUUAAAACUUCAUCCAAAACCCUGGACAUUUGACGGAUUUUAUAAACUUCCCCAGACAAAGCCCGACAAGCCCAGACAGCCCCCCCAAAAGAGGAUACAUCCAGGUAAAAGAGGGCGUAUGGUCACCAUAAUAAGUUAAACACUUGAUUUUUAUCAACUAUUAUUUUGCUGUGUGCACAAUAAUGGUUGAAGGGCUCUAUUUUAAUGUCUCAGCGCAGCGUAAAUCUGGUCUGCAGAGGCAAUGAGGCAUGCCCAAGCAUACUUACAUAUUUUGGUGAGCAGCACAGCCCGGCAUAAGUAGCCCCCUCCCUAACUCAGCUCCUCCUAGCGGUGUAAGUACAAAAGAGGGAGGGGAGAAGGUGUGGAGUGUGUUGAACACAGCUGAGUCCAGUUUUCACCGAUUAUAUCAGCUCCUCUCCUCUUUAAAUCCACUACCGGUGAGACGGAUAGCAAAUUUUGUUGAUUAGUUGAAAGAUGGCUGAAGACAGUAAUGCCACAAGAGGGCAACAGGAUGCAGCCCCUCAACAAGUGUCGUGGUAAGUGCUGCGAAGGGCGUCUUUACACGUUCUCAGUUUAGCUCUGAGGGAUCUGGGGCCUCAUGUAUCAAUACUUGCGUGGGACUCAUACCAGAAACGAGCGCACGCAAGGUCCAUCACGCUGAAAAAAAUCUGUAUGUAUCAAUGUGUGCGGGCGCCGAAAGCCACGUGUGUUUCCUAUAUAAAUCCCAAUCAGCGUGGAAUUGAGCGCAGAAGUCAGAGUGACCGGGCCCGCCCCCGUUACGCCCUCCUAUAAAUAUGCAGAUUUAUUUAAAUCGGGUCUCCCUGUCCUCGCACGCAGACAAAAUGACAAGAAAAACUAAAUUUACGGCGUGCAAGGUGGAGGUGCUGGUGGCGGAGGAGCGACAGCGUGUUUUGUUUGGCAGCCUGUCCAGUGGCGUCAGUGCAAAACGAAAACGCUUGGAGUGGGAGAAAGUUUGGGAGAGGGUCAACGCGGUGGGUUCCGAGACACGCACC